UACAGAGGGUGCGAGCGUUAAUCGGAAUUACUGGGCGUAAAGCGCGCGUAGGCGGCUUUGCAAGUCGGGUGUGAAAUCCCCAGGCUUAACCUGGAACUGCAUUCGAGACUGCAUUGCUAGAGUAUGGGAGAGGGAAGUGGAAGUUCCGGUGUAGCGGUGAAAUGCGUAGAGAUCGUGAGGAACACCUGCGGCGAAGGCGGGUUGCUGGGCUGACACUGACGCUGAGGCGCGAAAGCUAGGGGAGCGAACGGG
rnacentral:rRNA from 1 species